CACUUGCUCUUCGCUGACGAGUGGCGGACGGGUGAGUAAUGUCUGGGAAACUGCCUGAUGGAGGGGGAUAACUACUGGAAACGGUAGCUAAUACCGCAUAACGUCGCAAGACCAAAGAGGGGGACCUUCGGGCCUCUUGCCAUCGGAUGUGCCCAGAUGGGAUUAGCUAGUAGGUGGGGUAACGGCUCACCUAGGCGACGAUCCCUAGCUGGUCUGAGAGGAUGACCAGCCACACUGGAACUGAGACACGGUCCAGACUCCUACGGGAGGCAGCAGUGGGGAAUAUUGCACAAUGGGCGCAAGCCUGAUGCAGCCAUGCCGCGUGUAUGAAGAAGGCCUUCGGGUUGUAAAGUACUUUCAGCGGGGAGGAAGGCGAUAAGGUUAAUAACCUUGUCGAUUGACGUUACCCGCAGAAGAAGCACCGGCUAACUCCGUGCCAGCAGCCGCGGUAAUACGGAGGGUGCAAGCGUUAAUCGGAAUUACUGGGCGUAAAGCGCACGCAGGCGGUCUGUCAAGUCGGAUGUGAAAUCCCCGGGCUCAACCUGGGAACUGCAUUCGAAACUGGCAGGCUAGAGUCUUGUAGAGGGGGGUAGAAUUCCAGGUGUA
rnacentral:rRNA from 1 species